UACGUAGGGUGCAGGCGUUAAUCGGAAUUACUGGGCGUAAAGCGUGCGCAGGCGGUUUCUUAAGUCAGAUGUGAAAGCCCCGGGCUUAACCUGGGAACUGCGUUUGAAACUGGGAGACUUGAGUGUGGCAGAGGGGGGUGGAAUUCCACGUGUAGCAGUGAAAUGCGUAGAUAUGUGGAGGAACGCCGAUGGCGAAGGCAGCCCCCUGGGUUAACACUGACGCUCAUGCACGAAAGCGUGGGGAGCAAACAGG
rnacentral:rRNA from 1 species